UCCCAGACUCCUACGGGAGGCAGCAGUGGGGAAUAUUGCACAAUGGGGGAAACCCUGAUGCAGCAACGCCGCGUGAGUGAAGAAGUCAUUCGCGAUGUAAAGCUCUAUCAGCAGGGAAGAAAAUGACGGUACCUGAGUAAGAAGCCCCGGCUAACUACGUGCCAGCAGCCGCGGUAAUACGUAGGUGGCAAGCGUUGUCCGGAUUUACUGGGUGUAAAGGGCGUGCAGCCGGAGAGACAAGUCAGAUGUGAAAUCCACGGGCUCAACCCGUGAACUGCAUUUGAAACUGUUGGUCUUGAGUAUCGGAGAGGCAGGCGGAAUUCCUAGUGUAGCGGUGAAAUGCGUAGAUAUUAGGAGGAACACCAGUGGCGAAGGCGGCCUGCUGGACGACAACUGACGGUGAGGCGCGAAAGCGUGGGGAGCAAACAGGAUUAGAUACCCUUGUA
rnacentral:rRNA from 1 species